GUUUGAACAGGGCAGGGGGUCGCUGCCGAAUCCGUACAUACGGGACGGCCUAAUUGCACGUGCUAGAACACAUGCGCAUCUCCAUAAGGCCGACUCCUGGAAAGAAACAUCACACGCAGGAAGAGAAAACAUCUGUGCUGCUACAUUUGGACACAGAACGCAGCAGAAGAUCACGGCGAUGUGACGUGACUUUGGACGGGCGCGCACUCUGCGAAUUCAGCAUUUACACAAGAGACUU